rnacentral:rRNA from 1 species
ACUGCUCAGUAACACGUGGACAACCUACCCUUGGGAUGGGGAUAAACCCGGGAAACUGGGUAUAAUACCCGAUAGUCCUCGAAUGCUGGAAUGCAUCGAGGUCGAAAGCUCCGGUGCCCAAGGAUGGGUCUGCGGCCUAUCAGGUAGUAGUGGGUGUAGCGUACCUACUAGCCUACGACGGGUACGGGUUGUGAGAGCAAGAGCCCGGAGAUGGAUUCUGAGACACGAAUCCAGGCCCUACGGGGUGCAGCAGGCGCGAAAACUUUACAAUGCUGGAAACAGCGAUAAGGGAACCUCGAGUGCCAGGUUACAAAUCUGGCUGUCGUGAUGCCUAAAAAGCAUUGCAUAGCAAGGGCCGGGCAAGACCGGUGCCAGCCGCCGCGGUAACACCGGCGGCUCGAGUGGUAACCGUUAUUAUUGGGUCUAAAGGGUCUGUAGCCGGCCGGAUAAGUCUCUUGGGAAAUCUGGCAGCUUAACUGUCAGGCUUUCAGGAGAUACUGUCUGGCUCGAGGCCGGGAGAGGUGAGAGGUACUUCAGGGGUAGGGGUGAAAUCUUGUAAUCCUUGAAGGACCACCAGUGGCGAAGGCGUCUCACCAGAACGGACCUGACGGCAAGGGACGAAAGCUAGGGGCACGAACCGGAUUAGAUACCCGGGUAGUCCUAGCCGUAAACGAUACUCGCUAGGUGUCGGCCACGGUGCGACCGUGGUCGGUGCCGUAGGGAAGCCGUGAAGCGAGCCACCUGGGGAAGUACGGCCGCAAGGCUGAAACUUAAAGGAAUUGGCGGGGGAGCA